rnacentral:lncRNA from 1 species
CAGGACACGGGUCAAGUUAAGUCUAGGCUCUGAGGCUCUUAACUUUGAGAGAGGCAUCAAUUAGGCACCAGGUGGAAGGGCUAUAUGGGUGAGUGUGUGAAAAACUGCUUUGGAAAAGUCCACGAGGAAUACACUGCUGUAAAGGUAGAGCUAUGGGGGCUCAGAUCACCCUAGGUCUGGACUUUGGGACCAGAGAAGCAGAAAACUCUGAACUGUGUUGACAAGUGAGGAAGAUGUUCCUCUGAGCAAUGCCUGGAGCAGAGGAUGGUGGGUCAGGUAUGUUGGGGAAUCCCAGACUUGCUGUGGUAGGAGAACUGGAUUCUGAUGGUGCCAAACAGUUUUGGUUUCUGUUGUACUUCAGGUAAUUCAAGACGAGCUUUGCAAGGAGCAGAGGAGACUUCUGGGCCCUGGAAAAGCUGAUAGAGACAAGUUCAUGCCUAGUUUCUUCAUACCAGAUUAUUUUGAGGAGAGGGUCCAUUCAGAAGUUGUGUUGGGAUAAGAUUCCAUUUGGGCUGUGCCAGAAGGCAUUUUGAUUAUUCUCUUGGCACAGGUGACACAGAAUCCAUUGCCUCAGAGCCUCUCCUCCAUUUUCUAUUCCCGCUGUAUAGAGGAGCAUUUACUUGUUGAAGAUCUGAAACUGAGGCCAUGCAACCUGAGAAACACAGCACAGAGUGGUGAGUUGGGACCCUCAUGAGAAGGCAAGUUUCUGUUAGAAGUAAAGUGUGAACAUGGUGGCCUUGAUUAUGGGUUGUAUCAGAGGGCAAUUCUAUGCUCAGGAUUAAGAAAUUAUAUCAACCCAUAUUCUCACACAUUUCCCUGUCUUCCCAUCUUGCCUCAAAGCUAGCUGGAUUUGGAAUGAAAAAAAGUCAUUUUUUUUCUCCAAGUAAGUCAUUAAAAUAUAUUUAGUAAGUACCUACUAUGUAAAA